UUACGGCCAUAUCACGUUGGAAUACUGGUUCUAAUAUAAUCAUCGAAGUUAAGCAAACUCGAGCCUGGUCAGUACCUUGAUGGGUGACUAUUUGAGAAUAGCAGGUGCUGUAAG